rnacentral:rRNA from 1 species
UACGUAGGGUGCGAGCGUUAAUCGGAAUUACUGGGCGUAAAGGGUGCGCAGGCUGUCCCGCAAGUCAGGCGUGAAAUCCCCGGGCUUAACCUGGGAACUGCAUUUGUGACUGCAUAGCUGGAGUGCGGCAGAGGGGGAUGGAACUCCGCGUGUAGCAGUGAAAUGCGUAGAUAUGCGGAGGAACACCGAUGGCGAAGGCAAUCCCCUGGGCCUGCACUGACGCUCAUGCACGAAAGCGUGGGGAGCAAACAGG